UACGGAGGGUGCAAGCGUUAUCCGGAUUCACUGGGUUUAAAGGGUGCGUAGGUGGGUUGGUAAGUCAGUGGUGAAAUCUCCGUGCUUAACAUGGAACUGCCAUUGAUACUAUAGGUCUUGAAUUAUCUGGAGGUCAGCGGAAUAUGUCAUGUAGCGGUGAAAUGCUUAGAUAUGACAUAGAACACCGAUUGCGAAGGCAGCUGGCUACAGCUAUAUUGACACUGAGGCACGAAAGCGUGGGGAUCAAACAGG
rnacentral:rRNA from 1 species